UCCGCCUCAGCCAUUGGUCAGCAUUGCAGUAGGCACCUCCCCCUCCUCUGUAUAAAAGGAGCCAGAAUUCAGCCUGAGGGAAGAUGAUUCUCUGAGAGACUAGUCUGCCGACUGCUCUGUCUGCUAGCUUUGCAGUUACAGUCGUUAUUCCUUGCCCCAGCAACCCGCCUCCUGAGUUACUGGCCUUUCCUGUGGGGAGCAGAGCGAGUUUCGGCUGGGUUAUCACUUACGGUGACAGUUUCUAAAGUCAGAGAUGACAUGAGCCUGACCCCCAGGAGAAAGAUCUUGAAGUAAGACAUGUUUAUGUUGGAAUACCUGUAAAUAUAGAAGAUAUAGAAGAUACAGGAAAUAUUUGUUAAAUGGAACAAGCAAUAGCUCAUGGAGUGUUUUCUGUCGGCUCCGCAUGGCUCCAAAUCACAGCCCGUGGCCAGGAGAGCUGCCAGCUCCCUCAACAAAGUUGGGAACUUUGUGGACCCCACGAGACGCCUUAUUUAUUACAUCUCCCAGAGAAAGCAGACUGGGGCAAUAAUCGUCAAAGUAAUAUUUACCCCUUAAUAACUGCCUAUUUUUAUACCAGUGUUAGAGGUUAAUAGCAGUGUUAUUUACUCCUCUGCCAAAAAGAACUGAAGGAUGUGAAAUGUGGCAGUCAAUAAAGCUGAACAGUCAGAUAAAUAACAUUCAUAUUAUU